GUGCCAGCCGCCGCGGUAAUACGGAGGGGGCCAGCGUUGUUCGGAAUCAUUGGGCGUAAAGGGCGCGUAGGCGGCCAAGCAAGUCGGAGGUGAAAUCCCUCGGCUCAACCGGGGAACUGCCCCCGAUACUGCUUGGCUCGAGUCCCGGAGAGGGUAGUGGAAUUCCCAGUGUAGCGGUGAAAUGCGUAGAUAUUGGGAGGAACACCGGUGGCGAAGGCGGCUACCUGGACGGGUACUGACGCUGAGGCGCGAAAGCGUGGGGAGCAAACAGGAUUAGAUACCCUCGUAGUCC
rnacentral:rRNA from 1 species